CUAAAACUCCAAUGUUUGCUAGGUUACGAAAUUUCCAAAGUGAUUAUAUUGCUUUUGUUAUUUUGUGGCAAAAGUUCCUUAAUUUGGAUAAUAUGUAUCUGGUUUAUGUAAUUUUUUUGAUUUGUGAAGAAAGAUUAUUAUUGCAGAAUAACAUCACAGGGGCAAUUCCAUCUUUAGUUCAUUUAACAGCCCUUCAAUACAUGUAAGAAAAUGCACAAGGAGAUUUUUUUAGUUUUUUAUUAACUCCACAAUGUGAAUUUCAGAAACACUUCUGUUAUUUAUUAUUAUUAUUUUUUGGAUUUUAUCUUGAAAAAAUAUCAUCAGGUCAACCAAAUGAUGACGCUUUUUGAAGCUUAUCAAAAUUAUAAAUUGCUUUAAUUGAUUGACUGUUCAUUUUGGUUUUAUUUUUGAAUGAAUCUUUGUGCUCUUGGAGUUUACAUGAACCUGUUUAAACAUGAAAGUGCUAAUUGUGGCUUCUGUUACUUAUUUUCUUGAUGUUUCCAAAGUUUUUCUUCACUCAUCACUAUUUGCUUCCACCGCCUCACCAGCUUUUCGGUCAGCAUCAACACCCAUUGUCAACCAAUGAGGUUUUGGCCCCGAUCUCUUUCUCUAUAUAUCUGUAUAAAUGAUUGAUUUGUCCCAAAUCUCUUUUCAUCUGAUUUUUUAUCUUCUAUUUAUCAACAGGAGAUUCAGGUUCGUUGUAUCAUACAUAAGCUGUAAAUGGAAAUAUUAUUUCACAUGUAUAUUUUAAUUUUUAUUAUAAGUCAACCACAUCUUUAUUCAAGAUUUUAGUUUUCUUCUAAAUCUAUUUUUUUACUGAUCAAGAAAUGUGACGUGUUUGUAUAUAUGAUCAAUUCAUCAUUUUUUUACUAUUUCGAAUUAAAAAAAAACAAUUUUACAGAUUUUGAUAGUGAUAGCUCAUUUGGAGCAGGAUCUUGCAAGAAGAAGGUAUUACUUCACUCAUGUUUUUAAAUGUUUAUUCUGCUAUAAUAUCUAAAGCCUUUUUUUUCAAAUUUCUAAAAGCAAGCAGGAUUUUGAAAUUGAAAAAGAUUUUAGCUUUUGGCUAAACAUGAUAGAAACCACAAACUGCAUAAAUAACAUAAAAUAUUUGCACGCUUUCUAUUUUUUAUUGUAUGAAUUGGAAUAUUUUUGAAAUUUGGUGGUUAUUUUACGGUUUACCCCUACAUUGAUUUAAAGGUGUUAGAUUCAAUCGCAUUUAUUUCAUAUGACUGUUUCUUCGUUUUAUGGUGCUUAAAUGAUUCUAUUUAACCUCAUAUUUUGGUGUUUUUAAAUAAGAGUAGAGUAUGUUUUUAAUUUCUGUAGUUAAUUUUAGAUUUUAAAAAUGCAGUUCUCAACUUCUUCUUAUUCUUGUCUUUUGAUUUUGAACUUCAUCUAUGGCUUUAUGGAUGUUGUAGGCACACAAGUUUUAAGAAGCUCAAGAAAAUUUUGUAACCAUUUUGACAGAUGAGCUUUCAAUCAAUGCCACACUGAAUGGAUGGUAUCAUUGGGUAUCUUUUGGUUUGGAUAUGCUUUCAAAUGAAUUUUUUUUCAUGCACAUCAUUUUGUAAAAAUUUAUUAUUGGUAUGGAUUCCACAGUUUAUCGUCCAAAAGUUCAUGUACUACUCAUCUAAUUUUAUGUGGUUUGAAUUCAAGUUAUAUCUUUGUAGAUUAUAAUAAUAAAUAAAUAAAUACUUUUGUUUGAUAUUAAUGAUAUUGUUAUUACUUUAAAUUCUAUUGUUAGAUAUUAGGGUAUGGAUGGGCUGGAAUGUCUAGAAAUCAGGGGUAAAAACUGCAUCUACAUACUAUUUUUAUAGUUACAAAUUAUUUCUUCUAACAUUUUUGGACCAAGCCGCCCCUACAUAUUGUUUCUAUAGUUAAAAGUUUUUUAUUCUAACAUUUUUGGACCAAACUGCCCCUGUAUAUUUUUUCUAUAUUUAAAAAAAAAAAUAGUUUUAAGUUUUUUGGACCAAACUGCCCCUGCAUACUGUUUUUAAACUUAACAAAAAUUCAUUUUAACAAUUUUGGACCAAACUGCCCCUACAUACUAUUUUAUAGCUAAAUUUUUUUUGAUUUAAAAGUUUUGGACUGAAAUGCCCCUGCAUAAUGUUUUUACACAUAAAAAAAAUUGAAUUUAACAAUUUUGGAUGAAACUGCCCUUACAUACUCUUUUUAUAGUUAAUCUUUUCUUUUAACAGUUUUGGACAAAACUAUCCCUACAUAUUGUUAAUUUGGUUAGAACCAAAAAAAGUACACAAAUCCGGACCCCGCUUCACCGUUCCUCGGUUACAACACUCCGCUUUGUUCCGGUUUUGCAUUGGCUAGCUGGCUCUAAUUUUAUUUCAUUCUUAUGUAGGUUUCGACGAAUUUGAAAGGAGUUUCAAGGUCGGCUUCUGAAUUCCAAGUAUCUCACCUCUAAUUUCGGAUUUCAACUAGCUUAGACUUUGAUUUUAUUGUAACUUGCCUCCAGAUUUCAUCACUAUUUGUGUUGUGUUUUUGGUUUCACCCAAAUUUUGAACAGGGAAUCCGCCAUCUGUGGAUGUCGCCGAUUGGGAUAUCGAGUUCGCUGCCAAUGCAACCCUCGAUUUUCCGUCGGUGUGGCGGGAGGAGUAACGAUUCAACUCCUCCCAAACCUUCGGUGUCUGUUAAGCGCUUUCAAUGAAGUCGCCGACAACAUGAAGCAAAAUUCACCAAAAAAAUAUUAUUUUAAUGUAUUUUAUUGGAUUUAUGGGUAAAAUAAAAAAUGUAGAUGGUUUGAUUCAAAAAAUGACUUAUUUGAUAAUUGAUCAUUUGUGUGUUUUUUUCCAUACAGGGAUUUAGUUCUCACAUAGCAAACAUCAUUCCUGUAACAACAAUUCUCAUGGUACAACAACAGAAACAACAGCAGAUGGGAAUCUUUAUGUCGCUAUUCCUUAGAGACAUCUGAACCUUGGAUGCAUUCAAGGGACAUUCCAAGCCUACAAUUGGCAACGCGACAUAAGGUUGAAGUACCUAUUGACGGCACCGUGAGACUGUGACUUUUCCAUUUUUAGGUUAUAGAUGUAGUAAACUUUCGAUCGUAUCUGUUUAGCUCCAUGCCCCGCAACGCGAGGCUCCUCAUCUAGUUUACUAUAAUUACUAACGAUUCAUAAAAAAAGAUUAAACAUUCAUACUGUGUGGUAAUUAAUCCCAAGUCAUGUAGCACAUACGG